rnacentral:rRNA from 1 species
UUACACAUGCAAGUCGAACGGCAGCGCGGGGCAACCUGGCGGCGAGUGGCGAACGGGUGAGUAAUAUAUCGGAACGUACCCAAGAGUGGGGGAUAACGUAGCGAAAGUUACGCUAAUACCGCAUACGAUCUAUGGAUGAAAGUGGGGGAUCGCAAGACCUCAUGCUCCUGGAGCGGCCGAUAUCUGAUUAGCUAGUUGGUGAGGUAAAGGCUCACCAAGGCGACGAUCAGUAGCUGGUCUGAGAGGACGACCAGCCACACUGGAACUGAGACACGGUCCAGACUCCUACGGGAGGCAGCAGUGGGGAAUUUUGGACAAUGGGCGCAAGCCUGAUCCAGCAAUGCCGCGUGAGUGAAGAAGGCCUUCGGGUUGUAAAGCUCUUUUGUCAGGGAAGAAACGGUGGGAGCUAAUAUCUCUUGCUAAUGACGGUACCUGAAGAAUAAGCACCGGCUAACUACGUGCCAGCAGCCGCGGUAAUACGUAGGGUGCAAGCGUUAAUCGGAAUUACUGGGCGUAAAGCGUGCGCAGGCGGUUUUGUAAGUCUGUCGUGAAAGCCCCGGGCUCAACCUGGGAAUUGCGAUGGAGACUGCAAGGCUUGAAUCUGGCAGAGGGGGGUAGAAUUCCACGUGUAGCAGUGAAAUGCGUAGAGAUGUGGAGGAACACCGAUGGCGAAGGCAGCCCCCUGGGUCAAGAUUGACGCUCAUGCACGAAAGCGUGGGGAGCAAACAGGAUUAGAUACCCUGGUAGUCCACGCCCUAAACGAUGUCUACUAGUUGUCGGGGUUUUAAUUAACUUGGUAACGCAGCUAACGCGUGAAGUAGACCGCCUGGGGAGUACGGUCGCAAGAUUAAAACUCAAAGGAAUUGACGGGGACCCGCACAAGCGGUGGAUGAUGUGGAUUAAUUCGAUGCAACGCGAAAAACCUUACCUACCCUUGACAUGUACGGAAGGCCGGAGAGAU